GACGUAGGGCGCGAGCGUUGUCCGGAUUUAUUGGGCGUAAAGAGCUCGUAGGCGGCUUGUCGCGUCGACUGUGAAAACCCGCGGCUUAACUGCGGGACUGCAGUCGAUACGGGCAGGCUAGAGUUCGGUAGGGGAGACUGGAAUUCCUGGUGUAGCGGUGAAUGCGCAGAUAUCAGGAGGAACACCGGUGGCGAAGGCGGGUCUCUGGGCCGACACGUGACGCUGAGGAGCGAAAGCGUGGGGAGCGAACAGG
rnacentral:rRNA from 1 species